ACCUCCCCGAAGAAGCCAGACAGUUCGCCAGCUAGCUCUCUCUGCUUGCUAGUGUUGGGCCUGCUAUUCUGCAGCCUGUACCUGAGCUAGCUGCACCCCCCCACCUGCUGUUCAGUCCCCAGGCUACUCACCUGAAUUCCUGCCCUGCUGAUCUCCACUGUCAAGGCCGUCCAUCUCUUUUGCCUCAUUUCCACUGCACGACUCAGCUCGGAUCGACUCAGUUUUGAAACUAUCGCAACAAAGACGGGAAGCCAAUUUCUCGGCCAGAUGCUGAAUGUUGAAGGCAUCUCCAAUCAGGCUGAACUUAUCAAGCGUGAAGAACUAUUUGAAAGGCAGGCUGAGAAGGACAGAAGAAAACAAGAAGG